AAAAGAGGAAAUUAGUAUUAUCGUAAGGAAAUUAUUUAAUUCUGCUAUUUUUAUUCUUUUUCUGUUAACCCUUCUUCUAGGGUUUCGAAACUAUUGUUGUAUGCCAACUACCUGUUAAAAUUUUGAAAUUUUUUGUUGAUUUUUCUUUUUAAAGGAUCAGCAAAUUAAAGGACCAGAUUUGCUGAUUUACAAUAUUUUCUGUAGUUAGGGCAUGGUAAUUUUGCUAUUCAACGUUGUAAUUUUGUGUGUAUAUAU
rnacentral:misc_RNA from 1 species